rnacentral:rRNA from 1 species
GAUUCGAGCGAGAAAGUGGAGCAAUACAUGAGUACAGUGGCGACCGGGCUGAGUAACACGUGACCAACCUGCCCUCGAGUGGGGAAUAACUCCGGGAAACCGGGGCUAAUGCCGCAUAACAUCCUCGGAUCGGAAGAACUGGGGAUCAAAGGAGCAAUUCGCUUGAGGAGGGGGUCGCGGCUGAUUAGCGAGUUGGCGGGGUAACGGCCCACCAAGGCAAAGAUCGGUAUCCGGCCUGAGAGGGCGCACGGACACACUGGAACUGAAACACGGUCCAGACUCCUACGGGAGGCAGCAGUGGGGAAUUUUGCGCAAUGGGGGAAACCCUGACGCAGCAACGCCGCGUGGAGGAUGAAGUCCCUUGGGACGUAAACUCCUUUCGACCGGGACGAUAAUGACGGUACCGGUGGAAGAAGCACCGGGCUACUCUGUGCCAGCAGCCGCGUAGAA